rnacentral:rRNA from 1 species
UACGGGGGGGCAAGCGUUGUUCGGAAUUACUGGGCGUAAAGGGCGUGUAGGUGGCCAACUAAGUCCGACGUGAAAUCCCCAGGCUUAACCUGGGAACUGCGUCGGAUACUGGAUGGCUUGAAUUCGGGAGAGGGAUGCAGAAGUUCCAGGUGUAGCGGUGAAAUGCGUAGAUAUCUGGAGGAGCACCGGUGGCGAAGGCGGCAUCCUGGACCGACACUGACGCUGAGGAGCGGAAAGCCAGGGGAGGCAAACGGG